rnacentral:rRNA from 1 species
UACGUAGGGGGCUAGCGUUGUUCGGAAUUACUGGGCGUAAAGCGCGCGUAGGCGGUCCUGCAAGUCGGGGGUGAAAGCCCGAGGCUCAACCUCGGAACUGCCUUCGAUACUGCGGGUCUCGAGUCCGGGAGAGGUGAGUGGAAUUCCUAGUGUAGAGGUGAAAUUCGUAGAUAUUAGGAAGAACACCAGUGGCGAAGGCGGCGCACUGGCCCGGUACUGACGCUGAGGCGCGAAAGCGUGGGGAGCAAACAGG